rnacentral:rRNA from 1 species
GAAUGAACGCUAGCUACAGGCUUAACACAUGCAAGUCGAGGGGCAGCAUGGUCUUAGCUUUGCUAAGGCCGAUGGCGACCGGCGCACGGGUGAGUAACACGUAUCCAACCUGCCGUCUACUCUUGGACAGCCUUCUGAAAGGAAGAUUAAUACAAGAUGGCAUCAUGAGUCCGCAUGUUCACAUGAUUAAAGGUAUUCCGGUAGACGAUGGGGAUGCGUUCCAUUAGAUAGUAGGCGGGGUAACGGCCCACCUAGUCUUCGAUGGAUAGGGGUUCUGAGAGGAAGGUCCCCCACAUUGGAACUGAGACACGGUCCAAACUCCUACGGGAGGCAGCAGUGAGGAAUAUUGGUCAAUGGGCGAGAGCCUGAACCAGCCAAGUAGCGUGAAGGAUGACUGCCCUAUGGGUUGUAAACUUCUUUUAUAAAGGAAUAAAGUCGGGUAUGGAUACCCGUUUGCAUGUACUUUAUGAAUAAGGAUCGGCUAACUCCGUGCCAGCAGCCGCGGUAAUACGGAGGAUCCGAGCGUUAUCCGGAUUUAUUGGGUUUAAAGGGAGCGUAGAUGGAUGUUUAAGUCAGUUGUGAAAGUUUGCGGCUCAACCGUAAAAUUGCAGUUGAUACUGGAUAUCUUGAGUGCAGUUGAGGCAGGCGGAAUUCGUGGUGUAGCGGCGAAAUGCUUAGAUAUCACGAAGAACUCCGAUUGCGAAGGCAGCCUGCUAAGCUGCAACUGACAUUGAGGCUCGAAAGUGUGGGUAUCAAACAGGAUUAGAUACCCUGGUAGUCCACACGGUAAACGAUGAAUACUCGCUGUUUGCGAUAUACUGCAAGCGGCCAAGCGAAAGCGUUAAGUAUUCCACCUGGGGAGUACGCCGGCAACGGUGAAACUCAAAGGAAUUGACGGGGGCCCGCACAAGCGGAGGAACAUGUGGUUUAAUUCGAUGAUACGCGAGGAACCUUACCCGGGCUUAAAUUGCAGAUGAAUUACGGUGAAAGCCGUAAGCCGCAAGGCAUCUGUGAAGGUGCUGCAUGGUUGUCGUCAGCUCGUGCCGUGAGGUGUCGGCUUAAGUGCCAUGACGAGCGCAACCCUUGUUGUCAGUUACUAACAGGUUCCGCUGAGGACUCUGACAAGACUGCCAUCGUAAGAUGUGAGGAAGGUGGGGAUGACGUCAAAUCAGCACGGCCCUUACGUCCGGGGCUACACACGUGUUACAAUGGGGGGUACAGAGGGCCGCUACCACGCGAGUGGAUGCCAAUCCCCAAAACCCCUCUCAGUUCGGACUGGAGUCUGCAAACCCGACUCCACGAAGCUGGAUUCGCUAGUAAUCGCGCAUUCAGCCACGGCGGCGGUAAAUACGUUUCCCGGGCCCU